rnacentral:tRNA from 1 species
GGGGGUGUAGCUCAGCGGUAGAGCGCGUGCUUUGCAUGCACGAGACCCCGGGUUCGAUCCCCGGCACCUCCA